ACCUACAUGUGUGGGGAGAUGCAUGCCUCUGGCUACACCUUGAAAGAUCCCCGAAGGGAGACCCUUACUCAAGUCUCAGGAAGUAGCAGACCCCAGACACAAAGAGACCA
rnacentral:pre_miRNA from 14 species